rnacentral:rRNA from 1 species
GAAAGUAAGCAAGGGCAGACGGUGGAUGCCUUGGCUCUCGGAGGCGACGAAGGACGUGAUAAGCUGCGAAAAGCCCGGGGGAGGCGCAAAUAGCCCUUGAUCCCGGGAUAUCCGAAUGGGGCAACCCGGCAGGCUGAAGGCCUGCCAUCCCGAAAGGGAGGCGAACGUGGGGAACUGAAACAUCUAAGUACCCAUAGGAGGAGAAAAUAAACAAUGAUUCCGUAAGUAGUGGCGAGCGAACACGGAAGAGCCCAAACCCAUGUCGUCUAGGCGACACGGGGGUUGUAGGACCACGACGUGGCAAGAUAGAGUCAAGUGGAACGCCUUGGAAAGGGCGACCGUAGAGGGUGAUAGUCCCGUACACGACUGACGAUUGAAGCCUAGUGGUAUCCUGAGUAGCGCGGGGCACGAGAAAUCUUGCGUGAAUUAGCGGGGCCCAUCCCGUAAGGCUAAAUACUCCCGAGAGACCGAUAGCGAACCAGUACCGUGAGGGAAAGGUGAAAAGAACCCCGAGCAGGGGAGUGAAAUAGACCCUGAACCCGUCUGCCUACAAGCGGUCGGAGCGUCGUAAUGACGUGACGGCGUGCCUUUUGCAUAAUGAACCUACGAGUUACCUUCCCCGGCAAGGUUAAGUUCUUGAGGAACGGAGCCGAAGCGAAAGCGAGUCUGAACAGGGCGCCAAGUCGGGGGGGGUAGACGCGAAACCGAGUGAUCUACCCUUGGCCAGGUUGAAGGUUGGGUAACACCAACUGGAGGACCGGAUGGGUAAGCGUUGAAAAGCUUUCCAAUGAGCUGAGGGUAGGGGUGAAAGGCUAAUCAAACUCGGAGAUAGCUCGUACUCCCCGAAAUGCAUUUAGGUGCAGCCUCUUUAUAGUAUAUCGUGAGGUAGAGCGACUGAUUGGAUGCGAGGGCUUCACCGCCUAUCAAGUCCAGAUAAACUCCGAAUGCGCGAUAUAUAUUUACAGGGAGUGAGGGCGCGGGUGCUAAGGUCCGUGUCCGAGAGGAGAAGAAUCCAGACCACCGGCUAAGGCCCCCAAAUGAUCGUUAAGUUGAACUAACGAGGUCGGAUCGCAGAGACAGCUAGGAUGUUGGCUUGGAAGCAGCCAUUCAUUUAAAGAGUGCGUAACAGCUCACUAGUCGAGCGAUCUGGCGUGGAUAAUAAUCGGGCAUAAACGAUCUGCCGAAGCCGUGGAUGUCGCAAGACAUGGUAGGGGAGCAUUCCAUGCCGCGUCGAAGAUGAGGGAUGACCCUUGUUGGAGCGCAUGGAAAAGCAAAUGUAGGUAUGAGUAACGAUAAGGGGGGCGAGAAACCCCCCCGCCGAAAGACCAAGGUUUCCUGAUCAACGCUAAUCGGAUCAGGGUGAGUCGGGACCUAAGGCAAAGCCGAACGGCGCCGCCGAUGGAAGAAUGGGUUAAUAUUCCCAUACUGCCUCAUGGAGUGACGUGGAGACGGAGAAGUGACAGUCCUGCCGGCUGACGGAAUAGCCGGUUGAAGGGUGUAGAUAUUGAUUCCCGUAGGCAAAUCCGCGGGGAGAGUCGAACCUGAGAGUAUACGGAGCGCUUGCGCAACGUAAUAUGGACGUAACCAUGCUCCCGAGAAAAUCCGCUAAACUUAUCCAUGCGGCACCCGUACCGUAAACGGACACACGUGGUCGGGUUGAGAAUACUGAGGCGCUCGAGUGAUUCACGGUUAAGGAACUAGGCAAAUUGACCCUGUAACUUCGGGAUAAAGGGUCCUCGUCGUAAGGCGAGGCGCAGAGAAUAGGUCCAGGCAACUGUUUAACAAAAACACAUGGCUGUGCUAAAUGGAAACAUGAUGUAUACAGCCUGACACCUGCCCGGUGCCGGAAGGUUAAGAGGAGAUGUCAUCCGCGAGGAGAAGCGUUGAAUUGAAGCCCCGGUAAACGGCGGCCGUAACUAUAACGGUCCUAAGGUAGCGAAAUUCCUUGUCGGGUAAGUUC